rnacentral:rRNA from 1 species
GAUGAACGCUGGCGGCGUGCCUAAUACAUGCAAGUCGAGCGAACAGAUGAGGAGCUUGCUCCUCUGACGUUAGCGGCUGACGGGUGAGUAACACGUGGAUAACCUACCUAUAAGACUUGGAUAACUUCGGGAAACCGGAGCUACUACCGGAUAAUAUAUUGAACCGCAUGGUUCAAUAGUGAAAGACGGUUUUGCUGUCACUUAUAGAUGGAUCCGCGCCACAUUAGCUAGUUGGUAAGGUAACGGCUUACCAAGGCGACGAUGCGUAGCCGACCUGAGAGGGUGAUCGGCCACACUGGAACUGAGACACGGUCCAGACUCCUACGGGAGGCAGCAGUGGGGAAUAUUCCGCAAUGGGCGCAAGCCUGACGGAGCAAUGCCGCGUGAGUGAUGAAGGUCUUCAGAUCGUAAAACUCUGUUAUUAGGAAAGAACAGAAGUAGAAGUAACUAUGCCCGUCUUGACGGUACCUAAUCAGAAAGCCACGGCUAACUACGUG